rfam:Lucilia cuprina strain LS Scaffold13, whole genome shotgun sequence.
UAAUGGGCUUUCCAACACCACAUUUCUUGAUUUUUUGAUUCAUUAUAGUGUGGAUACUUUUUCUAAAAAAAAGCCUAACAGCAAUUUUUGUAACGACGGUCUUUGCUUUAUCAUUUCCUAGAUACUGCAAUAACAUUUACGUUCAAUUACAAAU